ACGAACGCUGGCGGCGUGCUUAACACAUGCAAGUCGAACGGUGAAGCGCCUUCCUUUUUGGUGGGUGUGGAUGAGCGGCGAACGGGUGAGUAACACGUGAGUAACCUGCCCCCUUCUUCUGGAUAACCGCAUGAAAGUGUGGCUAAUACGGGAUAUUCUGGGUCUGUCGCAUGAUGGGUCUGGGAAAGAUAUUGUUUCGGUGGGGGAUGGGCUCGCGGCCUAUCAGCUUGUUGGUGGGGUGAUGGCCUACCAAGGCGGUGACGGGUAGCCGGCCUGAGAGGGUGGACGGUCACACUGGGACUGAGACACGGCCCAGACUCCUACGGGAGGCAGCAGUGGGGAAUAUUGCACAAUGGGCGCAAGCCUGAUGCAGCGACGCCGCGUGAGGGAUGGAGGCCUUCGGGUUGUGAACCUCUUUCGCCAGUGAAGCAGGCCUGCCUCGUUUGUGGGUGGGUUGACGGUAGCUGGAUAAGAAGCGCCGGCUAACUACGUG
rnacentral:rRNA from 1 species